rnacentral:rRNA from 1 species
CGAUGUGAAGCGGUAAAAGCUCAAAUUCGAAAUCUGGUUACUUUCAGUGCCCGAGUUGUAAUUUGUAGAAUUUGUCUUUGAUUAGGUCCUUGUCUAUGUAUCCUUGGAACAGGACGUCAUAGAGGGUGAGAAUCCCGUUUGGCGAGGAUACCUUUUCUCNUGUAAGACUUUUUCGAAGAGUCGAGUUGUUUGGGAAUGCAGCUCAAAGUGGGUGGUAAAUUCCAUCUAAAGCUAAAUAUUGGCGAGAGACCGAUAGCGAACAAGUACAGUGAUGGAAAGAUGAAAAGAACUUUGAAAAGAGAGUGAAAAAGUACGUGAAAUUGUUGAAAGGGAAGGGCAUUUGAUCAGACAUGGUGUUNUUUUGCAUGCACUCGCCUCUCGUGGGCUUGGGCCUCUCAAAAAUUUCACUGGGCCAACAUCAAUUCUGGCAGCAGGAUAAAUCAUUAAGAAUGUAGCUACUUCGGUAGUGUAUAGCUUUCUGGAAUACUGUUAGCCGGGAUUGAGGACUGCGCUUCGGCAAGGAUGUUGGCAUAAUGGUUAAAUGCCGCCCGUCUUGA